rnacentral:rRNA from 1 species
CCUACGGGGGGCAGCAGUGGGGAAUAUUGGACAAUGGGGGAAACCCUGAUCCAGCGACGCCGCGUGAGUGAAGAAGUAUUUCGGUACGUAAAGCUCUAUCAGCAGGAAAGAAAAUGACGGUACCUGACCAAGAAGCCCCGCCUAACUACGUGCCAGCAGCCGCGGUAAUGCGUAGGGGGCAAGCGUUAUCCGGAUUUACUGGGUGUAAAGGGAGCGUAGACGGCAGCGCAAGUCUGGAGUGAAAUGCCGGGGCCCAACCCCGGAACUGCUCUGGAAACUGUGAAGCUGGAGUGCAGGAGAGGUAAGCGGAAUUCCUGGUGUAGCGGUGAAAUGCGUAGAUAUCAGGAGGAACACCGGCGGCGAAGGCGGCUUACUGGACUGUAACUGACGUUGAGGCUCGAAGGCGUGGGGAGCAAACAGGAUUAGAUACCCCAGUAGUC